GAAGCUGGGUUCGCUAGUAAUCGCGCAUCAGCCACGGCGCGGUGAAUACGUUCCCGGGCCUUGUACACACCGCCCGUCAAGCCAUGGAAGCCGGGGGUGCCUGAAGUGCGCUGCCGCAAGGAGCGCCCUAGGGUAAAACCGGUGACUGGGCUAAGUCGUAACAAGGUACC
rnacentral:rRNA from 1 species